CGGGAGGUGCUCUUUCCUGCCUCUACUCUCUACCCUUCCUCGCCCAAAUUCAUUACAAGGUGAAUCAGUGCCCCAGCCUUGCUGCAAAAGUUUGUUCAAUUUAUCUGCCCUGUGUGUGGCAGGUCAGUGGCAGUGGUGUAAAGCUAGAAGUAACGGUGUGACGCCUCCGUCUGUGUGUCUGCCUCCCGUUGGGCUCUCCUGUCAUUGCUCCCCUCCUUCCCCAGCUUCAUUUCCGCUGCUUCUCCUCUUUGUCCCCGGCCUUGUUGCCGCCGUCCCCGUGCCGGUUGUUGGAAGGAUUGUUGAGAAACAUCUUGUCGAGUCCUUUGAGAGCCUCGGUGAGGUAGUUCUGGAGGGUGGUGAGCGCGGCGCAGAUGGCGGGCGAGCCGAAGCCGUGCGUGAUGAAGGAGA